UACGGGGGGGGACUAGCGUUACUCGUAAUGACUGGGCGUUAAAGGGUCUGUAGGCAGUCAUUGGUCGUUUCUAGUAAAAGCCCAAGGCCCAACCUUGGGGAGUUAUUAGCUAAACACUUUGACUUUGAGUUAAGGAGAAGAAACUAGUGCUCUCAUAGUAGAAGGUGAAAUUCGUGAAUAAUGAAGGGAACUCUCAUCUUGCGAAGGCGUUGUUUCUAUUUUUUAACUGACGCUGAGGGACGAAAGCGUGGGGAGCAAACGGGU
rnacentral:rRNA from 1 species